UUCCCUGAGUAGCGGCGAGCGAAACGGGAAAAGCCCAAACCAACAAGCUUGCUUGUUGGGGUUGUAGGACUCCAAUAUGGUCGUUCUUUCAGAUAGUCGAAUGACUUGGAAAAGUCAGUCAAAGAGGGUAAAAACCCCGUAGACGAAAUGUGGAAGACACCUAGGAGGAUCCUGAGUACGGCGGAACACGAGAAAUUCCGUCGGAAUCCGGGAGGACCAUCUCCCAAGGCUAAAUACUCCCUAGUGACCGAUAGUGAACCAGUACCGUGAGGGAAAGGUGAAAAGCACCCCGGAAGGGGAGUGAAAUAGAACCUGAAACCGUGUGCCUACAACAAGUCAAAGCCCGUUAAUGGGUGAUGGCGUGCCUUUUGUAGAAUGAACCGGCGAGUUACGAUUGCAUGCGAGGUUAAGUUGAAGAGACGGAGCCGCAGCGAAAGCGAGUCUGAAUAGGGCGUUUGAGUAUGUAGUCGUAGACCCGAAACCAUGUGAUCUACCCAUGUCCAGGUUGAAGGUGCGGUAAAACGCACUGGAGGACCGAACCCACGUACGUUGAAAAGUGCGGGGAUGAGGUGUGGGUAGCGGAGAAAUUCCAAACGAACUUGGAGAUAGCUGGUUCUCUCCGAAAUAGCUUUAGGGCUAGCCUCGGAAUUGAGAAUGAUGGAGGUAGAGCACUGUUUGGACUAGGGGCCCAUCUCGGGUUACCGAAUUCAGAUAAACUCCGAAUGCCAUUCAUUCAUAUCCGGGAGUCAGACUGUGAGUGAUAAGAUCCAUAGUCGAAAGGGAAACAGCCCAGACCACCAGCUAAGGUCCCAAAAUAUAUGUUAAGUGGAAAAGGAUGUGGGGUUGCACAGACAACUAGGAUGUUGGCUUAGAAGCAGCCACCAUUUAAAGAGUGCGUAAUAGCUCACUAGUCGAGUGACCCUGCGCCGAAAAUGUACCGGGGCUAAACAUAUUACCGAAGCUGUGGAGUACACCUUUAGGUGUAUUGGUAGGAGAGCGUUCUAAGGGCGUCGAAGGCAGAUCGUGAGGACUGCUGGAGCGCUUAGAAGUGAGAAUGCCGGUAUGAGUAGCGAAAGACAGGUGAGAAUCCUGUCCACCGAAUGACUAAGGUUUCCUGGGGAAGGCUCGUCCGCCCAGGGUUAGUCGGGACCUAAGCCGAGGCCGAUAGGCGUAGGCGAUGGAUAACAGGUUGAUAUUCCUGUACCCGUUGUUUUUGUUUGAGCAAUGGAGGGACGCAGGAGGCUAAGGAAUGCAGACGAUUGGAAAUGUCUGUCCAAGCAGUAAGUCUGAAGAGGAGUCAAAUGCUUCUUUUCUUAAGGACAA
rnacentral:rRNA from 1 species